UGUAAUGUUUUUAUUCGCUACUGGAGGGGGGUAGGCGCAGUGUAACAUGUUAUGAUUGUAUUCGGUAUACGAGGGGGGUAGGUAGUGUAGAAAUGUAAUGAUUUUACUCGGUACUGGAGGGGGGUAGGUAGUGUAGAAAUGUAAUGAUUUUACUCGGUACCGGAGGGGGGUAGGUAGUGUAGAAAUGUAAUGAUUUUACUCGGUACCGGAGGGGGGUAGGUAGUGUAGAAAUGUAAUGAUUUUACUCGUACCGGAGGGGGGUAGGUAA